rnacentral:rRNA from 1 species
AAACCAACAGGGAUUGCCCCAGUAACGGCGAGUGAAGCGGCAAGAGCUCAAAUUUGAAAUCUGGCCUCCCCCGGGGGCCCGAGUUGUAAUUUGCAGAGGAUGUUUCGGGUGCGGCCGCCGUCUAAGUUCCUUGGAACAGGACGUCAGAGAGGGUGAGAAUCCCGUCUUGGGCGGGCGGUCCGCGCCCGUGUGAAGCUCCUUCGACGAGUCGAGUUGCUUGGGAAUGCAGCUCUAAGCGGGUGGUAAAUUUCAUCUAAAGCUAAAUAUUGGCCGGAGACCGAUAGCGCACAAGUAGAGUGAUCGAAAGGUUAAAAGCACCUUGAAAAGGGAGUUAAACAGCACGUGAAAUUGUUGAAAGGGAAGCGCUUGCGGCCAGACUCGGGGGCGGGGUUCAGCGGGUGCUCGUCGCCCGUGUAUUCCUCGUUUCCCGGGCCAGCAUCAGUUUCGACGGCCGGUCAAAGGCCCCCGGAAUGUGUCGUCUCUCGGGACGUCUUAUAGCCGGGGGUGCAAUGCGGCCCGUCGGGACUGAGGAACGCGCUCCGGCUCGGAUGCUGGCGUAAUGGCCGUAAGCGGC